rnacentral:misc_RNA from 1 species
GUUCUGCCGUUUACCGUCUUCCUAAAUUAGCGUCUCCUCUCUUAGGUUCUCUCGCCAGCGAAUCAUCUGUGUUUGUCAAGUGUCAACGAUGGCUCGCCUUCAGAUCCCCAUCUCCACAACAAUCUCUUCCUACCUCCUUUCUAUUCUCUUCUUAUCCCAAACCAGUCUCUCUUUUUCUCUCACUAACCAGUCUCUUCCUCAAUACGUCACGGUCACAGAUGUUCAUGACCUUCUCCCUUUGUAUGGCCUGCCUCGUGGCCUACUCCCAGACAAUGUUAAAUCUUACACU